GACGGACCAUCCAAACGUUAUUCGGAAUUACUGGGCUUAAAGGGUGCGUAGGCGGCGCGGAAAGUUGGGUGUGAAAUCCCUUGGCUUAACCAAGGAAUGGCGCUCAAAACUACCGUGCUCGAGGAAGACAGAGGUGAGCGGAACUUAGGGUGGAGCGGUGAAAUGCGUUGAUAUCCUAAGGAACACCGGUGGCGAAAGCGGCUCACUGGGUCUUUUCUGACGCUGAGGCACGAAAGCCAGGGUAGCGAACAGG
rnacentral:rRNA from 1 species